AUUUAAAUAGUUUAAAAAAAAUAUUAGUUUGUGGGACUAAAGAUAUAUUUAAAAUAUUUUAGAUA
rnacentral:tRNA from 1 species